CUCUUCCGUUUCCCCUGUGGGAGAGGACGUCGCAUGAGAUCACACGACUGCACCUCGAUCGUGCUGAUGUGAUGUUUCAGACGCACACAGCCACUGCUGCUCCUCGCCGUCUCUGAGCACACAUGAACAGUCUCCAUCGUGAGGUCGUCUAGGCUCGCGUGAUGUUGGGAAGUGUGUCCAUCUCUCCGUGUUCAUUCAGAGGACAGCUGAGUCGCUCUGCGUCUGCUGCCUCGCUGCAGGCUGCGUGUUGCAUUACUCCGGCUUACUUUACCCUGAGCUACUGCAUGUGUGUACACAACACGCAAUGUUAUGUGCAUGUUUGUCACUAUGGCUUCAUGUACGUAGAUUGAAAACUGUGGGCUUGGUUCACUUUGUCCAUUGGGAUCUUUUAUUUUGAAAAAUCAUUCAAUAAUAAUGUUAAAAGGUAUACUAUAGACAGAAGCCCCCAUUAUGGUCGUGCAUCUGCUUUAUGCUUUGACUUUCUGCAUUUAUCACCAAGACUUCAGUCAGAAAAUCUUUGUGUCCACUGGUUUGUCUUAAAUCAUCCUUUUGCCCAGUUACAGCGCCGAGGUCCUUCUGCUUGUGCAGGUGUGUGAGUGCACGGCAGACGGGCAUUGCAAAGAUGAUUCUGUAACUUCUUAAGAGAUAAACAUCCUCCCAUCAUCGGCGGGAUUACAGUUUCUGGCUUUUUUCUUUAGCUCUGGUAGAUUUUAAUUUAUUGAAAGGUAACUGCAGGAGAAUUUUCAAGCCGUCGCUGUGUUUGUAUAGUUCUGGAAAAUGUAACUCGGAUUUAAUUUCAGCACAAUCUUUGAGGAAUCAGUAUUUCUCAGGCUUGUCCAAGAGCUUUCUCUGGGGAACUGCACUUCCACAAAUGUAUUUAUUGCCGUCACUUUUCUGGCUCACUGGCCUUUCGAGCACUUUGAAAUGUAAUCAGACGAGUUACAAAACUUCCAUAUAGCAGCGAUAAAUUAAACUACACUUUCCUUCAAACUUUACCAGCAGUUAUGUUGCGAGUCGCUUUGCCAGCACGACAUAAUUACAGCUGCGUCGGCCUCAGUUAGUGUGUGACAUUCAAAACAACACAAGCAGUGCAAGUUAUCGAAAAUGAGAACUUUCAGUGUUUAUAGCAUCCUUUUCAUUCUUUUAACUUAAUGCUCCUUCAAAAUCUUUAUGGGCUGAAGGGGAAAAGGCCAUUCUGAGUCGGAUCCAUUAAAGAGGAAAGCUCUUAUCAAACAACCUCGUGAAAGUCAGCUCAGUCUCUAUUAAAGAUAAUGAAGGCGGUUACUGAGUCGACGUUUCGUGCUGCUGGUUUCAGACGUUCCCUAAAAACGUGGCUGAUAAAAUUACCUGUGAGUGUUUGCAUUGUAUCCUUUUCAGACGGCACUAAAUGACUCCGUUUACAUAUCUGUGUGACUAAAGUCUUGAAAAAAUAUGCGUUUUCUUUCUUUUGGGCACAAAAAACCUGCAACAAGGAGGCAUCCAAGACAGAUGCCAAACCACCUCCUCUGAAAGGAGCAGUGGUUCUACGCUGAGCUCCUCUCACUGCCUCUUUGCUCUACGUCUGUAUUUUAUUCCUCCCCACAGUUCAUGGGCGUUUGUGAGGGUACUAAAUCAAGUUGACAAGCAAACUGACAGCAUCGCCUUUGGGCUCUUUUUUUUUUUUAACCACUACAGACCUGCACAGCGUCUGUAGUGAUGCACUCAUCCACCUGUCAGUCACCCACUCCAUCCUGGCCUCCACUCAACAAGACCCCGAGGUGAUUGAACUUCUCCACCUGAACUCCACCUAACCCCUCGCAUCCAAAAACACCCCUGUGGAUACGGACUGAGACAGUCCUGGCAUGUCUGAGCAAAUCCAUCACAAACAUAAUCUGCUCGACAGAACAGCAGUGGCACGUGUUCUGUGACUGACAGCGACUAUUAUUAGUAUGUUCUGAUAUUCCACGGAUGUAUGCAGUAACAAGCAGGAUUUAUUUUGUUUGCCGAUGCUUUACU